rnacentral:rRNA from 1 species
AUUGAACGCUGGCGGCAGGCCUAACACAUGCAAGUCGAGCGGAUGAAGGGAGCUUGCUCCUGGAUUCAGCGGCGGACGGGUGAGUAAUGCCUAGGAAUCUGCCUGGUAGUGGGGGAUAACGUCCGGAAACGGGCGCUAAUACCGCAUACGUCCUGAGGGAGAAAGGGGGGGAUCUUCGGACCUCACGCGAUCAGAUGAGCCUAGGUCGGAUUAGCUAGUUGGUGGGGUAAAGGCCUACCAAGGCGACGAUCCGUAACUGGUCUGAGAGGAUGAUCAGUCACAUUGGAACUGAGACACGGUCCAGACUCCUACGGGAGGCAGCAGUGGGGAAUAUUGGACAAUGGGCGAAAGCCUGAUCCAGCCAUGCCGCGUGUGUGAAGAAGGUCUUCGGAUUGUAAAGCACUUUAAGUUGGGAGGAAGGGCAGUAAGUUAAUACCUUGCUGUUUUGACGUUACCAACAGAAUAAGCACCGGCUAACUUCGUG